GCCUGGGUGGCUCAGUCGGUUAAAGUGUCCAACUUUGGCUCAGGUCAUGAUCUUGCAGUCCGUGGGUUCGAGCCCCACAUCAGGCU
rnacentral:tRNA from 1 species